rnacentral:rRNA from 1 species
CCCUACGGGGUGCUUGGCGUUGCGCGGGUUGACUGGUCGAAGUGGGCGAAGUUCCAGAUCAAGAUGCAGGGGUUCUUCUUCCUGAUCGGCACGGUCGCGAUCAUCGUCGCGGUCAUGAUCAACUUCCAGUGAGACCCAUCCGGGGCUCGUAAAGGUGGAAACGGGAUCAUGAUCACGAUAUUGAGGAACGCUGAAGUUUACGCGCCCGAACGCCUGGGUGUAAGGGAUGUCCUGCUGGUCGGCGGAAAGAUAGCGGCCGUGGGGGAACAUGUUUCCCUGAACGCGGGGGGCGCCCUAGAGGUAAGGGAAAUCGAGGCGGGAGGCAAAGCCCUCGUUCCGGGCUUCAUCGACUCACACGUCCACCUGCUGGGUGGAGGCGGGGGGGC